rnacentral:lncRNA from 10 species
GUAGAGACGGGGUCUUACUAUAUUGCCCAGGCUGGUCUCAAACGCCAAGCCUCAAGCAAUCCUCCUGUCUUGGCCUCCCAGAGUGCUGGGAUUACAGGCAUGAGCCCCCAAGCCUGGCCAGAAAGUAUUUCCAAGAACUGAGUGAAUGUUUAUUUCUGAAAAUGAAUGAUGAAAACGUGUUCUUCCCCUUCACCUCAAUAGGUCUUGACAGGGUCUACAGGGGGAAUCCCAGAGUGUGCCCGGCGCUGACAGCAGCAAGAGACAGGAGCUGGGCAGAGCAUCCCUGGCUAGGGGAUCUGCCAGAGCCUAGCUGACAGCAUCCUCUCUUCCCUGCCCCCUGAAUUCAUCUUCCCCUCCUGGCCCUGGGCUUCCCCAUCUCUCUUGCUCCUGCCUGCUGUGACAGCUAAUUGCAGGAUGCAAUUUUCUGCCUCCCAUCUCCCUAUCUGCAUGUCUCCCUACUUCCUUUCAGGGUCAUUUUUUUUUUUUUUUACCUUUUUUCUUUUUUGAGACAGAAGUCUCACUCAGUCACCCAGGCUGGAGUGCAGUGGCGUGAUCUCGGCUCACUGCAACCUCCACCUCCAAGGUUCAAGUGAUUCUCGUGCCUCAGCCCCCCGAGUAGCUGGAAUUACAGGUGCGCGAUAGCACAUCCGGCUAAUUUUUGUAUUUUUAGUAGAGACGGGGUUUCGCCAUGUUGGCCGGGCUGGUCUCAAACUCCUGAC